rnacentral:rRNA from 1 species
GACGAACGCUGGCGGCGUGCCUAAUACAUGCAAGUCGAACGCAGUUGCGAACGGGUGAGUAACGCGUAGGUAACUGCCGCAUAGCGGGGGAUAACUAUUGGAAACGAUAGCUAAUACCGCAUACUGCGAGAUUGACCUGCGUUGUAUUAGGUAGUUGGUGAGGUAAAGGGUCAACAAGGCGACGACCCAUAGCCGAACUGAGAGGGGGAACCGCCACAACGGGAACGAGAAAAGGCCCAGGAUUCCAAGGGAGGGAGCAGUAGGGAAUCUUUGGGCAUGGAAGGAAGUCUGGCCGAGCAACGCCGGGUGAGUUAAGAAGGUUUUCGGAUCGUAAAGCUCUGUUGUUUGGGGAGCGGUAACUAACCAGAAAGGGACGGCUAACUACGUGCCAGCAGCCGCGGUAAUAC